rnacentral:rRNA from 1 species
AGUUAGCCGGGCCUUCUUCCCAUGGUACCGUCACUUCCUUCGUCCCAUGGAAAAGGGGUUUACACACCGAAAUGCUUCAUCCCCCACGCGGCGUUGCUCCCUCAGGCUUGCGCCCAUUGGGGAAAAUUCCUUG